AUUGAACGCUGGCGGCAUGCUUUACACAUGCAAGUCGAACGGUAACAGGCCUUCGGGUGCUGACGAGUGGCGAACGGGUGAGUAAUGCAUCGGAACGUACCCAGAGGUGGGGGAUAACGCAGCGAAAGCUGUGCUAAUACUGCAUGUGAUCUGAGGAUGAAAGCGGGGGACCGAGCAGCAAUGUUUGGCCUCGCGCCUUUGGAGCGGCCGAUGUCGGAUUAGCUAGUUGGUGGGGUAAAGGCCUACCAAGGCGACGAUCCGUAGCUGGUCUGAGAGGACGACCAGCCACACUGGGACUGAGACACGGCCCAGACUCCUACGGGAGGCAGCAGUGGGGAAUUUUGGACAAUGGGCGCAAGCCUGAUCCGGCAAUGCCGCGUGCGGGAAGAAGGCCUUCGGGUUGUAAACCGCUUUUGGCAGGAACGAAACGGUGUCCGCUAAUACCGGGCGCUAAUGACGGUACCUGCAGAAUAAGCACCGGCUAACUACGUG
rnacentral:rRNA from 1 species